rnacentral:rRNA from 1 species
CAAAGAACUUUGAAGAGAGAGUUCAAGAGGGCGUGAAACCGUUUAGAAGGAAACGGAUAGAGCCAAUGACGGUUGAUGGGAUUCAGUUUGUUGGCUAGGACUUGGAUGCACUUGUUGACAGUUAGCAGCAGUGUGCUUGAGCUCCAUGCCAAUGAAUGCAUUUCCUGUUGACGCGCGUUGAGGGCUGUGGAAGUGCAAAAUAAAACCCAAGUUGCCGGCCCUGUUCAUGGGGUGUCCCUCUUGGGCGUAGGUUUGUCACAGCCACAGUCACAAAGAUGUCCGCUCUGCUCGGUAGUCUAGCUACUUGGUCGAAUGAAUCUGGGCAGUUUGCUUGCACGCUGUCCUAACCCUCGAUCAGGCUAUGUGUGUCCAUCCGAGUGACAUCGACCUCAGUGUAAAAGUUGGCUACCUAUCCGACCCGUCUUGAAACACGGACCAAGGAGUCUAACAUGUGUGCGAGUCACUGGGCGGCAAACCCAGAGGCGGAAUGAAAGUGAAGAUCGGCUUGACCGAUUGAUACGGGAUCUCUCUGUGAGAGUGCACUGUAGCCCCGUCUGGACUGCUUGUCAGUAGGGCGGAGGAAGAGCAUACACGUUGGGACCCGAAAGAUGGUGAACUAUGCCUGAGCAGGACGAAGCCAGAGGAAACUCUGGUGGAGGUCCGAAGCGGUUCUGACGUGCAAAUCGAUCGUCAGACUUGGGUAUAGGGGCGAAAGACUAAUCGAACCAUC